AAUUAAUUGGUUUGGGCAGAUUUGGUGUUCUGUCCAAACUUGCCUGAAGUUCCAGCUCAGAUCUUGUGAUAAGAAACUAGUAAAGAUGGUUGACAUCACUGCUAAAGCUUGUAAAGUAUGUUGUUUUAUCAGCUGAAGAAAGGAAUGCAUUAACAGAAAAAGUCUGCUGACUAGACAGAACCACGCAGCACUCUGUAACAGAUGGUCAGAAGACAGCGAUGCAGAGGAUGCAUCCAGGCUCCAGAGCAGGUUUUUUUGGAACGGAUUUCACAGGAUCUCCUCUGAACAUGCACAGACAUGUUCGGAAAGACCAGAAGGGAAACCCCCACGCAUGCAGCGGAAGCACUUUGCAUCCUGAAUCACAGGAUCUCUCUUUCUUUGAGGAACAGUUUGACCUUUUGACCCCCCCCCCCACAAACCCACAUGGCCACACCCACUUCACCUCCUCACAUCCUGGACAGCUGUCAGCGAGGACCUGGCCCAAAGAAAAGAGACCCAUCUGUCGUCUUCC